rnacentral:rRNA from 1 species
CACGUAGGGCGCAAGCGUUACUCGGAAUUACUGGGCGUAAAGGGUCCGUAGGCGGUGCGGUAAGUCGGGAGUGAAAUCUCUGGGCUUAACUCAGAGGCUGCUUCCGAAACUACCGUGCUAGAGUGCGAGAGAGGCAAGUGGAAUUGCGGGUGUAGCGGUGAAAUGCGUAGAUAUCCGCAGGAACAUCCGAGGCGAAAGCGGCUUGCUGGAUCGCAACUGACGCUGAGGGACGAAAGCUAGGGGAGCAAACAGG